rnacentral:lncRNA from 1 species
UGGGUAGACUUGUUCAUGGUCUUUGAAAUAAGAUCCUUUGUGGGGCACUCAGUCUGUUAAUUAGAAAAUUAUCUCCAUCUUGGAUGCUGGGUCCUCUGG